UACGUAGGGUGCGAGCGUUGUCCGGAAUUACUGGGCGUAAAGAGCUCGUAGGUGGUUUGUCGCGUUGUUCGUGAAAACUCACAGCUCAACUGUGGGCGUGCGGGCGAUACGGGCAGACUGGAGUACUGCAGGGGAGACUGGAAUUCCUGGUGUAGCGGUGGAAUGCGCAGAUAGUCAGGAGGAACACCGGUGGCGAAGGCGGGUCUCUGGGCAGUAACUGACGCUGGAGGAGCGAAAGCGUGGGGAGCGAACAGG
rnacentral:rRNA from 1 species